rnacentral:rRNA from 1 species
UACGAAGGGGGCUAGCGUUGCUCGGAAUCACUGGGCGUAAAGCGCACGUAGGCGGAUUGCUAAGUCAGGGGUGAAAUCCUGGAGCUCAACUCCAGAACUGCCUUUGAUACUGGCGAUCUUGAGUCCGGGAGAGGUGAGUGGAACUGCGAGUGUAGAGGUGAAAUUCGUAGAUAUUCGCAAGAACACCAGUGGCGAAGGCGGCUCACUGGCCCGUUACUGACGCUGAGGCACGAAAGCGUGGGGAGCAAACAGG